AAGUAAAAGUCGUAACAAGGUUUCCGUAGGUGAACCUGCGGAAGGAUCAUUAUCGUACAAUGGAGGUGCUGGGGUUGUCGCUGACUUUUGAAAGGGUCGUGCACACCUCGGUGCUCUCGCACAUAAUCCAUCUCACCCCUUUUGUGCAUCACCGCGUGGGGACCCCUUUUGGCUAGUUCUGAGGGGGGUUUUCACGUUUUUACACAGACACCCUUUUAAUGCAAUGUGUAGAAUGUCUUACUUUUUGCGAUCACACGCAAUCAAUACAACUUCAACAACGCGUAUGUGAAUUGCAGAAUUCAGUGAAUCAUCGAAUCUUUGAACGCACCUUGCGCCCUUUGGCAUUCCGAGGGGCACACCCGUUUGAGUGUCGUGACAUCCUCAAAACCUUCUUGGUUUCUUGACCGGGAAGGCUUUUGGACUUUGGAGGCUUUUGCUGGCCUUCCUUUGUUGGAGCCAGCUCCUCUGAAAUGAAUUAGUGGGGUCUGCUUUGCCGAUCCUUGACGUGAUAAGAUGUUUUCUACGUCUUGGGUUUCGCACUGUUCGAUCUGGAUCCUGCUUCUAACUGUCUCAUAGAAGACAAUGGUCAAGUGAUUGCCACUUGACCCACAAACCUUGACCUCAAAUCGGGUGAGACUACCCGCUGAACUUAAGCAUAUCAAUAAGCGGAGGAAG
rnacentral:rRNA from 1 species